CGUGCGGACGUGGGGAUUGGCCACCAAGCUCACGCCCCGCCCUUCUGCGAAGGGGUCUGGGAAGUCGGGUCUUCUACCAGCAGUAGUCGCAGCCCACUUGCGACUUCUCGCUGUCGGCGUUAUCCUUCCUGAUUCUGCCGUUGGGUUUUGCAUUAGCUUCCGGACCUUGAGAGAAGCUAAAGCAGUGAAACUACAGAGACUGAGGCUAGAGGUACCUGAAGACCUCUGUGUGAGGGAUAGGCUCUAAGCCUGCAGAAGUCUUUCGGCCUCUAGCCCGCUUCCUGUUCUUUUUUCUCCUGUCCCCCACUCUCCUACCCAUUCCGUACUCUCUGUAGUCAGUAUCUCUCUGGCCUUAAUGAAAGGAAAUAAGCAAGAUGAGGUAUACAAACGGAUGCUGGGUAACCAGAUACCUGAACCUGAAAGGGUUGAAAACAGUGGUACCACAAAGCCUUCUGUAUCACACGUGGUUUUGUCUGUCAUUACUUCGCUUCUGUCAGGCAAUAACAGGAAGAGCUUCUUAGGGCUUUCCAAAACUUAUCUUCUUUUUAGUUGGCUAAAGGACUUUGAAUCAGAAAGUGUUUGGGGAUAGAGGGAGGAGCCUGUGAGCCAUUGAGGCAACCCCACAGAGCCAGGAGGUGGGGAUAAGUUCUUGGCUUUAACAUCAUCUACACGGCCUUAGCUUGAAGAUGAGAAAACUGAGGUCAGAAAUAUAAGCUGAUGGGCCCAAACUAGAAGCGCAAGUAUCCUGAUGUUCAGGUUGAGUCUCCAGAGUACUGUUCAUAUGAGGACACUUCCCACUUUUGGUCAUAGCUGAUUAGAUAGACUUUGAUCCUCAGAGAACUCAAUCAGAUUCCUCGUUCUGGGAAUUUGGAAUGGGGAGAGAAGUAUUAGUUUCCUUCUGUUGAACACUGAAACUGUAACCCAUACAUGGGCUUGAAACCCCAGAUAUGUAAGGCCAAGAUAAGGGGAAGGGGAAUCUACUCUGUAGAGAGAGAAAUGAAGCAGUCUCUUUGAGAAGAGUAGUGACUGCAAGCUGUGGUACUCCCAGAGAGAAAAAGGGAAGGGAGUCACUUUCUGGCUUUGCACAGAUUUUCUAUGGCCCCAUACUGCAAGUGGCCUGCCUGCUCUUGGGUUCUAUGGGUCCCUACACUGUAUUCUUCUAUUAAGUUACACUUUGUUUGUUGAUAGCUUAAAUGGCUAUUUUUUCCAUUCUUUAAAAUACAUUUCUAAUAAAUAUCAUUUAAGGGAGAUCUAAAUAGUUCUUUUCAUUUAUAAGAAGUAAAAAGCAUUGUGAAAGCUUUGGUCUGAAGAAUAACAUAAGGCUUAUGAAAAAUAUGCAAAAAUUACAGUCUUUUGAAUAAGAAGAGCAUAAUAGCAAGAGUAGGAAGUUCCAAGAUCUCACUCUCCCACAGAAACAUCAAAAACAAGCAGAAACAGAACCAAUCUUGUGAGAACUCUAGAAAACAGUUCAAGGUUUAUAGCAACUAACUGAACACUAAAUCAAGAAAAAUGCACCUCAAAACAGUACAAAGUAUUUGUGGUCAUUUUACUUGUCUUUCUGUACCCUUUUCCCUGAAUGGGGAUAGUCUUACAAUGUCAGUAGUCUAAAGGGGCACUUGUCUUAAGGUAGUGGUCAUAAGGCCACUACAGUUAUAAAGAAGCAGAGUGUUAAAGUGCAGCAAUCCAAAAUUGCAGCUGCCCAUUUUCCCACUGUGCUGUUGUUUCCGUGGUUCUGAAGGGAGCAAACUAACCUUUUUCAGAGAUUACUGUGAUCUCUGUUCUAAUCUGUCUGGGGGUGCUAUAGAUAAUUGUGUCUCCCAAAAUUCAUAUAUUCAGGCCUUAACCCCCAGUGUAAUUGUAGGGCUUAUAAAGAGGUGAUAAAAGUUAAAUGAGGCCAUAAGGAUAAGACCCUCAUCUAGUAGAGGUAGUUCCUCUAGUAGAGGUAGACACCAAAGCUCAUUCUCUCUAUCAUGUGAGGACACAGUAGGAAGGCAGCUGUCUGUAAACCAGGAAGAAUCCUCAUCUGAAAGUGAAUUGGUUGGUGCCUUGAUUUCGGACUUUCUAUCCUCCAGAGCUGUGAGAAAUAAAUUUCUGAUGUCUAAUCCAUCCAGGCUGUGAUAUUUUGAUAUGGCAUCCCAAGCAGACUAAUAUGGGGCAGCCUCUGAUGCAAGAUGUCCGCCCUGUUUUGUCUAACUCAGAACUCAGGUGAAAAAGCUUGAAAAUUCUGCAAGCUAAAUUAACAAUCCUCAAACACCCGAGGCAGAUAUUAUGGCUGAAAUGUACAAUAGACUGCCUAAGAUAAAAGUUGGGUAGAAUUUCUUUGGGAAGUUGAGACCUUCAAAAACAAUUAUGUAAAUGGGGGAAUUUAGAAAGCCAUAUGCAUACUCCAUACUCCAGGAAUUUAGAAAGCCAUAUGCAUACUCCACAUACUCAAACACUCAAGAAGACCCUAUGCUUUCAUCUUGGGCUCUCUCUUGGUACAGUGAAAACUAGCAAGUUGAAGGAGGGCCCUGGCUCAGAUUGAAUUUGCAAGAACUGGGAGGUUCCUAGCAUUCAAGUAUAUUUCUGCCACAUCCCUUGCUAAACACAAGCUGAGGAGACUUCAGUGACCACAUGUGACAAGGAAUAUAGUCUGUAAUCAUAGUUUGGGAAGGGCAUUAAAUCAACAGAUUGCUGCAGCCUUCAACAGUGAAAAAAUAGUGAACCCUAUGAAAGAGGAAGAUUCUGACUUCCAGGUAUAUUAUAAUUGUCAAAUGUCAGUUCUAACAAAAAAAAAAAAUUACAAGACAUACAAAGAAACAAGAAAAAAUAGCUCAUUCAAAGGAAUGAAACUGUCUUUGAGGAAGUACAGACAUUGAAGUUACUAGACAGAUCUUAAAACAACUGUAUUAAAUAUGCUCCAAGAACCAAUAGAAAAAAAAAAUGGACAAAGAACUAAAGGAAAUUAGGAAAAUGAUGUGUGAACAAAAUUAGAAUAUCAAUAAAGAAAUAGAAUUAUAAAAAGGAACUAAAGAAAAAUUCUGGGACUGAAGAGUACAGUAGCAACAACUUGGACAAACUAUUGGCUCUAAGACAAAACAGCUUUUUUGCAGAAGAUUCUGGCCUGGUCCCCCAUCAGAAGAUGAUGUCCCUGAACUCAAAUCGUAAAAUUUAUCAUGGUUUGGUGUGGUUUAGUGGAAAGAUCUUGUGCUUUGGAUUAAGAUUGAUGUGCUUGAAUUAUAGCUAUAAAUAAAAAUAACAAUGACUAGCAUUAUUAACUGAAAUGGAAAAAGCUCUCAGAAGGAAGAACUCAGAGUCUGGGACUUAAAUAACUUCUGCUUCUUGGUUACUAUUGUAUUAGGCACUAUAUUAAACACUUCCCUCACUGAUUUAUUUUCAUCUUCACAUUAACUCUCUGAGGAGGCAUUACCAACUUAUAAAGAAACUAGUCUCAGAGAUUAAGCCCUUGUAAACAGUAAAGGGAUUCUACUCCAGUCUUUUUUUUAAUGCUUUAUUAAGGUAUAAUUGACAUGCAAUAAGAUGUAUGUAAGAUGUAUGAUAUGAUAUUUUGACAUAUGUGAACACAACCACAAUCAAGAUAUUGAAA